rnacentral:lncRNA from 1 species
UGAUGCUCUUGACAGGUUCCACUGAGGGCUUGGGCUCAGGGUCAUUGAGGAGAGGCAGGAUCAAGGGAAGCCACAGACAUCUCUUCUGGGAAGCCCAGGUCAUCAGGGAUCUUGCAGGCAGGUCGGUGAGCUGCCAGGAUGAACUCUAGUUUUUCCUUCUCCUUCAGCAGGUUGGCAAUCUCGGUCUGCAAAGCAGACUUCUCAUCUUCUAGUUGGUCUGU